rnacentral:rRNA from 1 species
GGACGAACGCUGGCGGCGUGCUUAACACAUGUAAGUCGAACGGAAAGGCCCUGCUUUUGUGGGGUGCUCGAGUGGCGAACGGGUGAGUAACACGUGAGUAACCUGCCCUUGACUUUGGGAUAACUUCAGGAAACUGGGGCUAAUACCGGAUAGGAGCUCCUGCUGCAUGGUGGGGGUUGGAAAGUUUCGGCGGUUGGGGAUGGACUCGCGGCUUAUCAGCUUGUUGGUGGGGUAGUGGCUUACCAAGGCUUUGACGGGUAGCCGGCCUGAGAGGGUGACCGGCCACAUUAGGACUGAGAUACGGCCCAGACUCCUACGGGAGGCAGCAGUGGGGAAUAUUGCACAAUGGGCGGAAGCCUGAUGCAGCAACGCCGCGUGCGGGAUGACGGCCUUCGGGUUGUAAACCGCUUUCGCCUGUGACGAAGCGUGAGUGACGGUAAUGGGUAAAGAAGCACCGGCUAACUACGUG